ensembl:lncRNA
AGGGAGUGGUGUAAUAGAUAGGUGUUGAUAGGGAGUGGUGUAACAGAUAGGUGUUGAUAGGGAGUGGUGUAACAGAUAGGUGUUGAUAGGGAGUGGUGUAAUAGAUAGGUGUUGAUAGGGAGUGGUGUAAUAGAUAGGUGUUGAUAGGGAGUGGUGUAAUAGAUAGGUGUUGAUAGGGAGUGGUGUAAUAGCUAGGUGUUGAUAGGGAGUGGUGUAACAGAUAGGUGUUGAUAGGGAGUGGUGUAAUAGCUAGGUGUUGAUAGGGAGUGGUGUAAUAGCUAGGUGUUGAUAGGGAGUGGUGUAAUAGCUAGGUGUU